ensembl:lncRNA novel transcript
GGCUGGGCCUUUGUCUCUCGCUCCCACCAGAGCUUGGAAUCCGUCUCUGCUCUUCUGCAUUCUCCACCUCGGGAGCCCCUGGGGACUCUGUGACGGCCUCUGUUGCCCUGUGAUCUGCAGGUCCGGAGAGACGCACAGCUAAGAUGUCAGGACAUCCUGGAAGCUGGGAAAGGGUCUUGCCAUCUCUAAGCUGGACCUGGUGACCUUUUUGGAGGGAAAGAAAGAGCCCUGGACUGUGAAGAGUGAGGAGACCAUAGCUGCACAGCCAGAGAUGGGGUUCCAUCAUGUUUUCCAGGCUGAUCUCAAACUCCCACGGUCAAGCGAUCUGCUGGCCUCGGCCUCUCAAGUCCAGAUGUAUAAUCUCAUCCCUGAACAUUUCUGAUGGUGUGAUUAUGACAUGUGACUUUAUCUGGCAACAGAGUGAGUUGUUGCUCCCGCCUGAGCCCAGCCCCCAGAAAGGAUUGUGACAUAUCGUUGGACCCAGAAUUGAGGGGGCAUUGUGUCAUAUCGCUGGGCCCCACACAUAGGUUAUGUGACUCUUCUGCCUGUGCCCUGCCCAUGUGGCCCAUUGUGACAUACUGUUGGGUCCCAAACCUAGGUGAUGUAACUCUACUGCUUAGGCCCUGCCUACAGAGGACAUUGUGACAUAUCCCUGCAUCCAUCACACAGGCUCUGCAUAUUUGGGUAUUGUGACAUAUUGCUGAACUCAACACCUAAGGGAUGGGAGUCUCCUACCUAGGCCCUUCCUACAGGGGACAUUGUGACAUGUCUCUGCAUUCCUCAUCCAGGAGAUGUGACUCUCCUUUUCUGCCUACACCCUGCCUACACAGAAAGUUGUGGCAUAUUGCUGUGGUCAGCAACCAGAUGAUAUAUUUCUCCUGCCUGGGUCUUUAUUACAGGAAAGAUGAUUGACAUAUUACUGGGCCCAGCAUCCAGAUGAUGUGACUCUCUUCUUCUGUUGGUCCUUGCUUACAGGGAAACUGUAGCAUAUUGCUACACCCAACACCUAGCUUAUGUGAUUCUUCUUUUAGGUUUGCCUUCAGGGAACAUUGUGACAUAUUGCUGGGCCCUGCACUGAUAAUUUGUGACUCUUCUGCCUGUGAUUUGCCCACUUGGGGCAUUGUGACAUAUUGCUGGGUUUAACACUCAGGUGAUGUAACUUUUAUGCCUAGGCCUUGCUUACAGGAGGCAUUUUGAAAUGUCUUUGUGGCUGGGCAUGGUGGCUCAUGUCUGUAAUCCCAGCGCUUGGGGAGGCCAAGGUGGGCAGAUCACAAAGUCAGGAGUUCGAGACCAGCCUGGUCAACAUGGUGAAAACCUGUCUCUACUAAAACAAAACAAAACAAAACAAAACAAAACAAAACAAAA